GGGGAUGUGUGGAUUCGACAGGGCUUGGAUACCGGGAAACGCGAGCCGAGGUGCCGUCUGGCCUCGUAAAAAGGCGGCAAAAAGAAGUACCUGGCAACCGCCAGUCGACUCUCGCUCUCGCCGCUUAGGCGGUAGAGUGAGCGUGGAAGCUACCUCCUCCUCGUGGGUAGUGGAAGCGUCAUCCAGCGAGGAUGCAGUCCGGACAAGCGUCACGUAGUCCGAACCCAAGCCCGAUCUAGGGGCACGCGACUGGACCGUCGGGCAGAGUGCCGAUGCCCGUCCCGGCGGUCGACGACAAACCAUCGGACACGCUCGUAGUUGGAUCCCGGCGAAGGGUUCUGGACGGGGAGUUCGACUCUCCCCCAUCUCCACCA
rnacentral:tmRNA from 1 species